rnacentral:lncRNA from 1 species
UGCACAUGUUAAAUGGGUGAUUAAGAAGACAGAGAGCUGCUUAAAAGGUCAUGGGAGAAGUACAAUGUCUGGGGACUUGGCAGUAGCCUGGCAGAGACCGCAGGAAUCCUAUAGAGUCUUUUAUGGACAGGGCUCUGAAAUUCCAGAGCCUGCAGGAGCUCCUGCCUGAGGUUUAUCUACAAAUGACACAGAAAGGACACCAGGCCCAUUCAGAUGGCAACCCAGGAAGACACCAGUCCUUCUGUCCUCACAUUAACAGAAGGAGGCCUCUGCUCGAGAGCCUUCAUGGGGGCUGAGGAACCUUUGGGAGCCUGAGCUGAUGGAGACUGGGCCUAAGCCUUUGGCCUACAGAGUCUGAGACCCUGGUGAUGUGGGCGCCCCAGGCAAUGUGGGCACCAGUACACUUCCUGAACUUGGGCUGAGCAAUGAGGACAAGUCAAUUGAGCCUGUGGCUUUGGGGAUCUGCCUUGGGAUUUCUGAGGGCCCUGAUGGCCUCUGCAAGUACACUCCCAGCCUUGGCAUUGUUGACCUGCUUCUUCUCCAGGCCCUAUUUUUUUUCUUUUUUUGAGACAGUGUUUCCCUCUUGUUGCCCAGGCUGGAGUGCAAU